UGUUAAAAAAUUGGAGUCCUAUUUGACAAGCACAUCUCUGAUGGCAAUGAUCUUGGUUCGUGUCAGGAAGAUCUGACUUCUAUUCUGGUAAGCUUAUAAGGUGAUACCACGAAGCCACUUAAUUUGUUUGUCACUCACUUGAUAUGGUUUUCUUAUCAUCAUAUGUAAAAUAACAUGGUGAAUAUUAUAAAGUAGUGUAUUGUAAAAUGUAAAAUUUUAGGUAAUAUUUACAUCAGCUACAGUUAAGGAGAACAAUUAAUACUAAAUUGUGGAAUUUUAUUUUUGAUGGUAGAUGUUUUUUGUAACUCAUGCUUACUAAUAUGUUUAUGCCUUUGCUGCAAAUUCUACCCCUAUUAUUGUGAUAGGAUGAUAUGCAAGUCAUAUUUCAAGAAGUUAGGAUGGACAAAUAAGGACCACGAAGACUCUAGCUGCCUUCAAGAAGUCAGGAUAAGAGGCCUUCAGCAAAUGUACCCUCAAUAAAGAGGAGAGCUAUACAAUUAUGUUCGGGAGUCAAGACUCAAGAAAACACUCAUUUGUUAAUUUAUUUCUCUAUUGAUGCUACAUGUUGCAUCAGGAUGCUAUGUGGAAUGUGUACUAUGAACCGUGAUAUGGAAUUGGCAUUGAUGUUUACUGAAAAUAUAUUCUGUUGGACAGUUGACUUGGUCAAUGGAAAAAUAGUCCCCAUAGAAUCGGG
rnacentral:lncRNA from 1 species